rnacentral:rRNA from 1 species
AUGUCUAAAAGACCAGAGCACCAGGCACCUCCUGAAGUUUUCUAUAAUGAGGACGAAGCCCGAAAAUAUACACAGAACUCCCGUAUUAUGGAAAUUCAAUCACAGAUGACAGAAAGAUGUCUGGAAUUGCUGUUGUUACCUGAAGAUGCGCCAUGCCUUCUUCUGGACAUAGGAUGUGGUUCUGGACUAUCUGGGACAGUGCUGGAAGAAAAUGGUCAUAUGUGGAUUGGCAUGGAUAUAUCAUCAGCUAUGCUUGAUGUUGGAAGAGAAAGAGAAUCAGAAGGAGAUGUGAUUCUGUCAGACAUGGGUGAAGGAGUACCUUUCAGAGCUGGUUGUUUCGACGGGGCUAUAUCUGUAUCUGCUUUGCAGUGGCUGUUUAAUGCGGACAAGAAAUCCCACAAGCCUGUCAAGAGAUUGUACCAAUUCUUUAGUACAUUAUAUGCGUCACUCUCAAGAUCAGCCAGAGCAGUAUUCCAAUUCUACCCUGAAAACGAAAGCCAAUUGGAACUUCUAACAUCACAGGCAAUGAAAGCUGGCUUCUAUGGAGGUGUUGUCAUUGACUAUCCAAAUUCUGCAAAAGCUAAGAAGUUCUUCUUAGUUUUGAUGACUGGAGGAUCUGCACCAUUACCCCAGGCAUUAGGGACUGAUGAAAGUGAUAACCUUCAAAUUAAAUAUGCUAAAAGAGAAGCAACAAAAAAUAUCAGAGGCAAACCUGUGAAAAAUACAAGAGCUUGGAUCAUGGAGAAAAAGGAAAGGCGAAGGAAGCAAGGCAAAGAAACAAAGGCUGACACAAAGUACACUGGCAGGAAAAGAAGUGGUCGCUUCUAA